rnacentral:rRNA from 1 species
GUCUACAACCAUGCCAUCCUGAACAUGCCCAAUCUUGUCUGAUCUCGGAAGCUAAGUAGGGUCGGGCCUGGUUAGUACUUGGGUGGAGACCACUUAGGAAUACCAGGUGCUGUAGGCA